rnacentral:ncRNA from 1 species
CGUUUUCAUCUCACACGAUUUUACAUGAAUUUUUCAAACUUUCGAAUUUCAAUAGCUCCUUGGUAAUGUGACCAACCUACCUCAAACAACUUUCAGAAUAUCCACGGAGUGGCGGUCACGGGCUCAUGAGGCAUCCAGUGCGGUAACGUGACCGAUCCCGGAGAAGCUGGCGGGAGCCCACGGGGAGAGUUCUCUUUUCUUUGUGAAGGGCAGGGCGCCAUGGAAUGGGUUCGCCCCGAGAGAGGGGCCCAAGCCCUGGAAAGCGUUGCGAUUUCAGUGGCAUCUGGUGAGUUCUCCCUGGCCCUUGAAAAUCCGGGGGAGAGGGUUUAAAUCUCACGCCGGGCCGUACCCAUAUCCGCAGCAGGU